rnacentral:rRNA from 1 species
GCCCGCUCAGAAACUACAAAGGAAGUUGACGGGGGCCCGCACAAGCGGUGGAGUAUGUGGUUUAAUUCGAUGCAACGCGAAGAACCUUACCUGGUCUUGACAUCCCGGAGACCCUUAGGAAACUAGGGGUGCUUCCAUCUGGAAGAAUCUGGAGACAGGUGCUGCAUGGCUGUCGUCAGCUCGUGUCGUGAGAUGUUGGGUUAAGUCCCGCAACGAGCGCAACCCUUGCCUUUAGUUGCCAGCAGUUCGGCUGGGCACUCUAAAGGGACUGCCGGUGUUAAACCGGAGGAAGGUGGGGAUGACGUCAAGUCCUCAUGGCCGUUACGGCCUGGGCUACACACGUGCUACAAUGGUCGGUACAAAGGGUUGCCAAGCCGCGAGGUGGAGCUAAUCCCAUAAAACCGAUCGUAGUCCGGAUCGCAGUCUGCAACUCGACUGCGUGAAGUCGGAAUCGCUAGUAAUCGUGAAUCAGAAUGUCACGGUGAAUACGUUCCCGGGCCUU